UAGGGCAAAGUAGGGGAGCAUUUGGAGAUCGGGAUUUGGGGUCGGAGAGCUAGCUUUAAGCUCCUUUCAAAGAUGUAAGACUUAGUUUCAUAGAGUUUGGGAAGACUUUGCAAUAAUUGUUCAAAGUCAGUGUUUGUAUUGGUGAUUUGGAUUUUUUGCAAUAAAGUUAGAGCUAGUACUCUUGACUGUUUUGUGAAAUUGGAGAAACAUCUACAGUUGAAAUUUUAGAGAUGUCUAGAUGGUUGAGUAUGCUAAGUGCAUGCAAAAUUUUGUAUUAAUCUAAUAAUAUGGAUAGAGGAUAUUUGAUCAUUAGUGUAAAGAGGUAUUAGAAGUUGGCACAUUGGGGUUGUUUAGAGUUUCUGCAAUAUCUGGAGACCUACUAGUUGGAAUAAGGUGAAUUUUAGCUUAAUAAGUCGAGGACUUA
rnacentral:lncRNA from 1 species